GCCACGUCUGCCCGUGAUCCUCUUCACUCUCUCUCACUCGGUGGCUACCAUGGCGUACAGACGUCUUCAGCUUGUUGAGGCAUUGUUGGGAAUGUGGUGGUGCUGCUGCUGCAGGUGUGGAAGGAGCAGCCGGUGUUGAACAAAGUGUGUGAGGACUUGAGGGUGUGCAGCAUAGCAUUGCUUCAUGAGCAGCCGUUGUUGAAGUGUGUGAGGAGCUGAGGGUGUGUAGCAUAGCAUUUCUUCAUAAUGUCUAAACAGCAGGUGGUGUUGAACAGUGUGUGAGGAGCAUACCAUGGCUUCAUGAGCAGCUGGUGUUGAACAAAGUGUGUGAGGACCUGAGGGUGUGCAGUAUAGCAUUGCUUCAUAAUGUUUAAGCAGCAGGUGGUGUUGAACAAAGUGUGCGAGGAGCUGAGGGUGUGCAGCAUAGCAUGGCUUCAUGCGAGGUGAAAUAAAUACUCUGGGGGCCGAUGAUCCUUUUCCUAGCACUGAGGAUGACCUGGUGUGGGGACAAGCAAGGAUCCAUAUGCCUCACAUUCCUGGUCAGAGUAGGAGUUUGAGAAGUUAACUGUAAAUGGGAAGAUGAAAGAUUCCUGAUGAGAAUGGAACCUUUACACGCUGAAAGAGGAAGAUAGGUUUUCAUAUUUGCUGAUUGGUUCAAGUAGGAUGCGUUGCCUGGUGUGUUUGAGAUUGUGUAUAGGAGAAAGAAGCAGCAGCAGCAUGGCAGGUUUAUUUUGCUUUGGAGCUGGAAAUCACACUGGAAAUGAAUGAAGGUUUUUGGACUCGGAAUGAACUGAUUGUCUAGAGCAAGAUGAGUGUUGCUUCAUUGUUUCAGACUAGACCUCAAGAUACGGAAGUUGAAUUUCCCAGUGAAAAGUAGUGUUAAAUAGGUGGAUUGUGGAAGAUUACACAGAUGAGAGGAUGCAGUCUUGUCAUAACUGGUGUAUUUGCAGCAAUGGACUCCUCAUGAAACUCCCAAUUGAUUGGAGAGAUUGGAGAAUGCUGAGGUGCUGACAGAUGUGGAGAGAUAUUGAGAUGAUGUGUGCCAACAUGCCUGAUGGACAGCACUCCUGACUUCUGUUAUGGCAGUCAGUAGCAGAACAAUGUUGGAGAGGUCCCUGAUCCACAGUGGUGACUUAACAGGUAUGUAUUUUAUUUUAAGUAAGAUGUGCAAUAAUGAGACUUGUGAUACUUAUCAUUGUUCUGUUUUUAAAAUAUCUAUUUAUUGAUGGCCUUGUAUCACAAGAAGUCUUGUUACAUUUUGGCCAAGAAUUGAAGGCAAGCUGCUGUGUGCUUUGCCAAUCACAGCUGCCAGUUAAUUGGAAAUAGAUAUUUUCAGCCAUUUAGCUAUUUUAUCCAUGGUAUCAUGUAUUUUGCACAUACUUUCAUGCAUGCAAAAUUAAAUAGAUGUUAUAUCAAUGUUGCCAAGAUCUUGGCAAAGUUGGGAAGUUUGUUAUCUGUGAAAGCAACAAUAAAACAUAUUGCAUUUU